GGGGGUGUAGCUCAGAGGGAGAGCGUUCGCUUUGCAAGCGAAGGGUCGUGGGUUCGAAUCCCUCCACCUCCACCA
rnacentral:tRNA from 1 species